rnacentral:rRNA from 1 species
UACGAAGGGGGGCUAGCGUUGCUCGGAAUUACUGGGCGUAAAGGGAGCGUAGGCGGAUAGUUCAGUCAGAGGUGAAAAUCCCAGGGCUCAACCCUGGAACUGCCUUUUGAUACUGGCCAUCUUGAGUAUGGGAGAGGUGUGUGGAACUCCGAGUGUAGAGGUGAAAAUUCGUAGAUAUUCGGAAGAACACCAGUGGCGAAGGCGACACACUGGCCCAUUACUGACGCUGAGGCUCGAAAAGCGUGGGGGAGCAAACAAGG